rnacentral:rRNA from 1 species
UACGAAGGGGGCUAGCGUUGCUCGGAAUCACUGGGCGUAAAGGGCGCGUAGGCGGAUCUUUAAGUCGGGGGUGAAACCUCCAGGCUCAACCUGGAGACGCCACUCGAUACUGCUGUGACUAGAGUCCGGUAGGGGAGCGUGGAAUUCCUGGUGUAGCGGUGAAAUGCGCAGAUAUCAGGAGGAACACCAGCGGCGAAGGCGGCGCUCGUGGGCCGGUACUGACACUGAGGAGCGAAAGCGUGGGUAGCAAACAGG